rnacentral:ncRNA from 1 species
AAAAAUCCUUUGAUAAGAGGCAAGUAUGUUUAAAAACAAAUUUAAAGAGAGCUGUAGGUGGCUGGGAUUACAGUAAUUAUGCUUAAACAGAAUGGAUCUUGGAGGAUCGGGAUGAAUUUAAAGUACUCUUUUGACGUAAGCCAUACGUUAUAAUGGCAGGAUAUGUAUGUAUCUUAAGCAAGGAAAAGAUUUAUUAUCUUUUUGAAUUUAGGUGGCACAGUGUUAACACGCCCUAUGA